rnacentral:tRNA from 4 species
UGGGGUAUCGCCAAGUGGUAAGGCAGCGGUUUUUGGUACCGCCAUUCCCAGGUUCGAAUCCUGGUACCCCAGCCA